rnacentral:rRNA from 1 species
UUUUAUGGAGAGUUUGAUCCUGGCUCAGGAUGAACGCUGGCGGCGUGCCUAAUACAUGCAAGUCGAGCGAACAGACGAGGAGCUUGCUCCUCUGACGUUAGCGGCGGACGGGUGAGUAACACGUGGAUAACCUACCUAUAAGACUGGGAUAACUUCGGGAAACCGGAGCUAAUACCGGAUAAUAUAUUGAACCGCAUGGUUCAAUAGUGAAAGACGGUUUUGCUGUCACUUAUAGAUGGAUCCGCGCCGCAUUAGCUAGUUGGUAAGGUAACGGCUUACCAAGGCAACGAUGCGUAGCCGACCUGAGAGGGUGAUCGGCCACACUGGAACUGAGACACGGUCCAGACUCCUACGGGAGGCAGCAGUAGGGAAUCUUCCGCAAUGGGC